AGUGAACGCUGGCGGUAGGCCUAACACAUGCAAGUCGAACGGCAGCACAGUAAGAGCUUGCUCUUACGGGUGGCGAGUGGCGGAUGGGUGCGGAAUACAUCGGAAUCUACUUUUUCGUGGGGGAUAACGUAGGGAAACUUACGCUAAUACCGCAUACGACCUACGGGUGAAAGCAGGGGAUCUUCCGACCUUGCGCGAUUGAAUGAGGCGAUGUCGGAUUAGCUAGUUGGCGGGGUAAAGGCCCACCAAGGCGACGAUCCGUAGCUGGUCUGAGAGGAUGAUCAGCCACACUGGAACUGAGACACGGUCCAGACUCCUACGGGAGGCAGCAGUGGGGAAUAUUGGACAAUGGGCGCAAGCCUGAUCCAGCCAUACCGCGUGGGUGAAGAAGGCCUUCGGGUUGUAAAGCCCUUUUGUUGGGAAAGAAAAGCAGCAGGUUAAUACCCCGCUGUUCUGGCGGUACCCAAAGAAUAAGCACCGGCUAACUUCGUG
rnacentral:rRNA from 1 species